GACGUAGGGCGCGAGCGUUGUCCGGAUUAUUGGGCGUAAAGAGCUCGUAGGCGGUGUGUCGCGUCGGCCGUGAAAACCUGCAGCUUAACUGUGGGCUUGCGGUCGAUACGGGCAUCACUGGAGUUCGGCAGGGGAAACUGGAAUUCCUGGUGUAGCGGUGAAAUGCGCAGAUAUCAGGAGGAACACCGGUGGCGAAGGCGGGACCUGGGCCAGUACUGACGCUGAGGAGCGAAAGCGUGGGGAGCAACAGGG
rnacentral:rRNA from 1 species